rnacentral:rRNA from 1 species
CCUACGGGAGGCUGCAGUGGGGAAUAUUGGACAAUGGGCGAAAGCCUGAUCCAGCCAUGCCGCGUGUGUGAAGAAGGCCUUCGGGUUGUAAAGCACUUUCAGUGGGGAAGAAAGCCUUGGGGCUAAUACCCUCGAGGAAGGACAUCACCCACAGAAGAAGCACCGGCUAACUCCGUGCCAGCAGCCGCGGUAAUACGGAGGGUGCGAGCGUUAAUCGGAAUUACUGGGCGUAAAGCGCGCGUAGGCGGUCUGAUAAGCCGGUUGUGAAAGCCCCGGGCUCAACCUGGGAACGGCAUCCGGAACUGUCAGGCUAGAGUGCAGGAGAGGAAGGUAGAAUUCCCGGUGUAGCGGUGAAAUGCGUAGAGAUCGGGAGGAAUACCAGCGGCGAAGGCGGCCUUCUGGACUGACACUGACGCUGAGGUGCGAAAGCGUGGGUAGCAAACAGGAUUAGAUACCCUAGUAGUC